rnacentral:lncRNA from 1 species
CCCUGCAAACAAAAUCCUAACUCUCAUAGAGUCCUCUCAAAAUGAAUAUAAAAUUCUCUCCAUAACUACCACGAAAACUCUCACAAAAACUCAUUUGCGACUACAUCUUGUAGCCCCCAAAAGAAAAGCCCUAUAAUACUACAUUUUUAAUUGCAUCUCAAUUGACUUCUCAAAACAGGAUACAAUGUUCAUUUAAAUAGGUUAAGAUUAGAAGUCUAAUCAUACUAAAAUAUUCCUAGAGUAAUCAAAGUUUAACUAGGAAAAGAUAGUAGAGUUGACUAAGAGAAGAAACCCGAUUUAUAUGGAGAACACGUUGCCACGUCACAACAUUGGAAAGCUUCUUGUCAUGACGUCGCCUUCUGUUUGGCUGAAAAUGCGAAGCACAUCCCACAGUUAUAUAAAUGGAUAAAACACCAUAUAGUCAUUAUUAAGUUUUUUCUAACUUGGUCCCGAAUUUUUUCUUAGUGCAAACCAAUACUCAAACUUGAAUUCCAUUAAACGAUUUAGUCCAUUUUUGUAACACCAUUAAAAAAUAUUGACAUUACAUUUUAAAUUUGUAUCACACCGUGACCUAAAAAUUUUAGAAAUAAAUAUUAUACUUAAUUAAUAUAACAUUACAACAUUAUAAACUUCUAAAUGUUUGCUUUAUCCCUUAUAUAAAUUAUUAUUAUACUUAUUAUUAAAUUUUUAAAAAUCAUUAUAAAUAUUGUAAUGUUAUUGCAAUAUUAUUAAAUUUUUAAAAAUCAUUAUAAAUAUUGCAAUGUUAUAUGCAAUAUUCAUUUUCUCAUUUAUAUUUAUUAUACAUUUUUAGUUCAAAAAUGUUUUUGGUGUAAUUUCUUAAUGGCUUUUAUUUUGGUGGUUGCACUACAUUUAGGGAGAGAUUUGAUGAGAUAGGCAAAAAGAUGAAGAUGUUUCAUUUAAUCAUUAGCAGAUAAGAAGACACAUAUUAGGACCUCCUCGACUGUUUUACAUGUGUCUCUUGAUGUUUGGUGUUGACUUUUUUUAGGGCCUAGGUAAAAUAAUAAAAUGAGGUUUUAAGUUCCUUAAAAGUUAGAGAAAAAAAUUUUUAGGUCCCUUAAAAGGUGGUAAAAAAGAUUUGGGCCCAUAAAAGCUAAAAAAAAAACAAAAAAUUAGACACCUUCAAAGUUAGUUUUUUUUUAAAAAAUUAAAAAAAAUUAAACCCCUUAAAAAUUGAAAAAAACAAUAUUUUGGACACUUUCAACCUUGGGCCCUAGGCGGCCGCACCUCUAGACGACCCCAAGGAUGGGCCUGGAUUGUUAGUUAUGUCUCAAAGAUGCUAAUGGUAAUUAAAAACUUAAUCCCCACCUAUAAUUUCAAUUUUAUGAUAUUUUUAGAAGUUUUUUUUUAUUGUUUUGGAUUUAUAUUUUUUAAAUUAAAAGUACCAAAUUGAUGGUUCGUUUGUGGAGACUUUAAUGUGAUAAUGUAUGGUUUUCAAAAAAAGGGAGGGUUACCCCGUGAUGAACGAAAAAUGGAGAAUUUACGUAAUGUUUUAGCGGAUUGUCAGCUAUUGGAUGUGGGGUUUUCUAGAAAUUGGUUUACAUGGAAGAAAGGAAACCUUCCCAAGACAAACAUUCGUGAACGACUCUUCCAUUGUCCUCUUUUAAUUACUACUAAACGGGCUGAAAAUUGGGUGACUGCUAAAGCUUUCAAGUUUGAAACUUUGUGGAUAGUGGAAGAGUCGUUUAAUGAAUAAGUCAAAAAUAUAUGGAAGUCAUCAUCUAGAAACUUGUUGCAAAAGUUAGAUAUUUUAAAAGGGGGAUUGAGACGAUGGGCAGGACAAAUUCGAUUUGAUAGAAGAAGGAGAAAGGAUCUACUCAUAGCUAGACUAUCAGAACUUGCAGGGGCUGACAGAGGUGAUAUCAACAUGGUAGAACUGCUUGAUGCGAAAAUUCAAUUAAACUUUGAGAUUGAAAAGGACGAACAUUACUGGAACAGAGAGCUCGGAUAAAUUGGCUAAAAUUUAGGGAUAGGAAUACUGCAUUUUUUCAAAGCCAAGUGACGCAGCAUAGAAGGAGAAAUGUCGUCCACAAAUUGAAUAAUGAAGAAAGGGUAGAUACGGACAUUGUGAAGGAAAUUGAGGGAAUUGCGCGAUCUUAUUUCCAGAAUUUAUUUACAAUAGAGGGGUGAGGAAAUUUUGACCAUUUGUUGUCGGGUAUUGAAAAAUGCUAUCUAAGGAGGAUAAUCAAAAUCUUAUAAAGCCUUAUAUGGCAGAGGAGAUUAGAGAGGGGCUGUUAGUGAUGGGACCCACUAGAGCACCAGGUGCAAAUGGCUUUCCAGCUCUGUUUUACCAAAAAUGCUAACACAUCAUUGGGGACGACGUCACCAAAUUCUACUUACAAAUUCAUAACGAAGGUAUGGGCUUUCAACAAAUUAAUGCUACUCAUAUAAUCCUCAUCCCUAAAAUUGAUAAUCCGUCUACUAUGAUGAAUUUCAGACCUAUCAGUCUGUGCAAUGUGCUUUAUAAAAUUAUAGCAAAAGUUACUGAAAAUCGUUUCAGGGGAGUUAUUAAAAACUGUAUUGACGUCUCAGAGUGUGUUUGUACCAGGCAGAUUGAUUUCAGAUAAUGUUCUAUUGGCAUAUGAAAUUCUUCAUACUCUUCAACAAAAGAAAGUUGGGAAAAAAGGUUUUAUGGCAGUCAAGUUUGUUGAAAAGACAAAUUAAAAGGGGUGUUGAAAAGUCAAAAAAAUGGGAGGUGCAAGUGGCACCGAAAGAAAAAAAUGGUAGGCAAGUUGUUUAAAGUUGAAUGGGAUAAUUGCAAUUUUGGUCCCUAAUUUUUAGGCCAUUUGCAAGUUAGUCCCUGAACCUCAACUAUAAAUAGGCCUAACCAUUUCUCAUUUACACCAUCCCAACCAAUCUUUCUCUCUUAGUUUUCUCUCUUCUCCCAUUUGAGAAUUCUUAAGGAAUUCUAUUUGUUUGUAAUAUUUUGGAGAUAGUAAAGUUAUCAUCUGGUGUUAGUGCCCGAGGACGUAGGUAUAAUUUACCGAACCUCGUUAAAACUCUUAUGUUCUUUUUGUCCUAUUUUUCUUUCAAUAUUUGAGGGUAUAAUAGUAGUAUUUAAUUGUGCUAUUAAAUUACGUUAGAAGGAAUAUUCUGACUAAGGAAAGACUUGGUAUUUAAGAGAUCCUUGUGAUCCACCUCUCUUCCCUGGGAAUUGAACUUUGUGUGAUUUUUUAGUACAAUAAUUUACACACUUCCGACCCUAUUGGAACAACAAGUGGUAUCAAGAGCCGAAGGUUAAUCGUAGUAUGCUCUGUGGUUGCAGUUUAAACUGAUCUUCCACAUCAAAAAAGAUUUCCUUAGGUAUAUUGAAAGAUUAUGGAGAAAACAGUCGGUGUAGGAGCUUCAACAUCGUCCAUGUAGACAAGACCGACAAUUGCAAAUGCAAGAUUGGCCGUGGAGAUCUUUGAUGGCACGGGCCAUUUUGGUAUGUGGCAAAGUGAGGUUCUAGAUGCCCUUUUUCAGCAGGGUCUAGACAUUGCCAUUGAUGAAGAAAAACCAGAUGAUGUACAGGAGAAAGAUUGGAAGGCGAUCAAUCGGUUGGCAUGUGGCACAAUUCGAUCAUACCUUUCUCGAGAGCAGAGGUAUGCUUUUUCAAAGGAGACUUCUGCAAAUAAGUUGUGGGUGGCACUUGAAGAAAAAUUUUUGAAGAAAAAUAGUCAAAAUAAGCUCCACUUGAAGAAAAGACUGUUUCGCUUCACAUACGUUUCAAGUACCACAAUGAAUGAUCACAUCACCAAAUUUAAUCAGUUAGUCACUGAUUUGUUGAAUAUGGAUGAGACAUUCAAAGAUGAAGAUUUGGCUUUGAUGCUGUUGGGGUCACUUCCUGAGGAGUUUGAGUUCCUAGAAACUACUCUACUUCAUGGCAGGAGUGAUAUAUCUCUGAGCAAAGUCUAUGCGGCCUUAUACAGUUAUGAACAGAGAAAGAAGGACAAACAGAAAAACUCAAUCAGAGAUACAGAAGCUUUAGUAGUCCGAGGUCGUUCAUACACUCGGAAGAAAACUCAAAAGGGGAGAUCAAAGUCAAAGUCCAGACUCGGGAAAGAUGAAUGUGCUUUUUGUCAUGAGAAAGGCCACUGGAAGAAAAAUUGUCCAAAGCUGAAGAAUAAGGGAAAAGCUGCUGUAGAUGCUUGUGUUGCUAAGCAUGAUACUAGUGACUCUGAACUAUCACUGGUUGCAUCAUCAUCGUCGUUCCAUUCAGAUGAGUGGAUAUUGGAUUCGGGUUGUACCUAUCAUAUGUCCCCUAACCGGGAGUGGUUCUCUGAUUUAGUAGAACUAAAUGGAGGAGUUGUUUAUAUGGGCAAUGACAAUGCCUGUAAAACUGUUGGGAUAGGUUCAAUCUAAUUAAAGAAUCAAGAUGGAUCAACCAGAGUUCUGACUGAUGUUCGGUACGUGCCCAGUUUGAAGAAAAAUCUCAUCUCAUUGGGAGCCUUGGAAUCCAAUGGUUCAGUUGUUACUAUGAAAGAUGGGAUUUUGAAAGUGACAUCUGGUGCACUUGUGAUAUUGAAGGGCAUCAGGAAAAAUAACUUGUAUUACUACCAAGGUAGUAUAGUUAUUGGAGCAGUCGCUACAGCUUCCGGUAACAAAGAAUUGGACUCAAUGCAGUUGUGGCAUAUGAAGUUGGGACAUGCCAGCGAAAAAUCCUUGCAAAUUCUGGCAAAGCAAGGAUUAUUGAAAGGUGCAAAGGCUUACAAAUUAAAAUUUUGCGAGCAUUGUGUUCUGGGAAAGAAAAAGAGAGUGAAAUUCGGUACUGCUAUCCAUAAUACAAAAGGUAUUUUGGAAUAUGUUCACUCAGAUGUGUGGGGGCCUUCCAAGACACCUUCAUUGGGAGGAAAACACUACUUUGUUACUUUUGUUGAUGACUUUUCCAGAAGAGUUUGGGUGUAUACCAUGAGAACUAAGGAUGAAGUGCUUAGAGUUUUUCUUAAAUGGAAAACUAUGAUCGAAAACCAGACUGGCAAGAAAAUCAAGCGGCUUAGGACGGACAAUGGAGGGGAAUAUAAAAGUGAUCAGUUCUUCGAUGUGUGCCAAGAGUAUGGUAUUGUUCGACACUUCACAGUUAGGGAUACACCACAGCAGAAUGGAUUGGCAGAGCGUAUGAAUCGAACAUUACUGGAGAAAGUUCGAUGUAUGUUGUCCAAUGCUGGGUUGGGCAAGCAAUUUUGGGCUGAGGCUGUGACAUACGCUGGCCAUCUUGUUAAUCGUUUGCCAUCAUCUGCAUUAGAAAGAAAAACUCCUAUGGAGGUAUGGUCUGGAAAACCGGCUACAGAUUAUGAUUCCUUACAUGUGUUUGGAUCCACUGCAUAUUACCAUGUGAAGGAGUCAAAGUUAGAUCCGAGGGCAAAGAAAGCUCUCUUUAUGGGAAUCACUUCUGGAGUGAAGGGAUUUCGUCUUUGGUGCUUAAGCAUAAAGAAAAUGAUCUGUAGCAGAGAUGUUACCUUUGAUGAAUCUGCCACAUUGAAAAAGGUAGCAGAUAAAGAUAUUCAGACGAGCAAUACUCCACAACAGGUGGAGUGUACUCCAAAACAUGUGGAGUUUGAGCAGAUGGGGAUUUGCCCAGUUAAUAAGUCUAAUUCUCCAGCCACAAUGGAGGAAUUAGAGGUUGAAGAGGUUCUGACCCAAGAACCACUAAGUACACCAGAACCAGUUGCAGUUGCAAGGCCACGGAGAGAAAUUCGUAAACCUGCUCGAUUUACUGAUAUGGUGGCCUACGCCCUUCCCGUUGUUGAUGAUAUUCCUAUCACUUAUCAAGAAGCGAUGCAAAGCUUAGAAAGUGAUAAAUGGAAAAGCGCCAUGGAUGAAGAAAUGCAGUCUCUCCUGAAGAACAAUACUUGGGAAUUGGCGCAAUUACCGAAAGGUAAAAGGGCAAUCGGAUGCAAGUGGGUAUUCGCAAAGAAAGAUGGAUCUCCUAGCAAGAAGGAUAUUCGCUAUAAGGCAAGAUUGGUAGCUAAAGGCUACGCUCAGAAGGAGGGAAUUGACUACAAUGAUGUAUUUUCCCCUGUUGUGAAGCAUUCCUCCAUUAGAAUUUUGUUGGCCUUGGUAGCACAGUUGAAUUUGGAGCUAGCUCAACUUGAUGUUAAGACGGCUUUCUUGCAUGGUGAGUUAGAAGAGGAGAUCUAUAUGACUCAGCCCGAAGGAUACACAGAUGCUGGUGGUAGAAAUUGGGUUUGUAAGCUGAACAAAUCGCUAUAUGGAUUGAAGCAAUCCCCGAUGCAGUGGUACAAGCGAUUUGAUAGCUUUAUGAGAAGGCAGAAGUACACAAGAAGCAAAUAUGACAAUUGUGUAUAUUUGCAGAAGCUGCAUGACGGAUCUUUCAUUUAUCUACUCUUGUAUGUUGAUGAUAUGUUAAUCGCUUCGAAGAGCCAAAAUGAGAUAGAUAAGCUGAAGGCUCAGUUGAAUCAAGAGUUCGAGAUGAAAGAUCUAGGUGAGGCCAAGAAGAUUCUCGGCCUGGAGAUAAGUAGAGAUAGACCGAGAGGCAAGCUCUGUUUAAAUCAGAAGCAAUAUCUGAAAAAGGUAUUACAAUGUUUUGGUGUAAAUGAAAACACAAAACAUGUAAGUACCCCACUUGCUUCUCAUUUGAAACUUAGUGCUCAAUUAUCUCCGAAGACUGAAGAUGAAAGAGAAUAUAUGGCGAAAGUCCCAUAUGCUAAUGCAGUUGGGAGUUUGAUGUAUGCGAUGGUGUGUACGAGGCCUGACAUUUCACAAUCUGUUGGAGUUGUGAGCAGGUAUAUGCAUGAUCCUGGAAAAGGACAUUGGCAAGCUGUGAAAUAGAUUCUACGGUAUCUUCAAAAAACCGUAGAUGUUGGUUUAAUUUUUGAACAGGAUGAAGCACUUGGUCAGUUUGUAGUUGGAUAUGUUGAUUCCAACUUUGCUGGUGAUUUAGAUAAACGUCGUUCAACUACGGGGUAUCUGUUUACUCUUGCGAAAGCCCCAGUGAGUUGGAAGUCUACCUUACAGUCUACAGUAGCUGUGUCUACUACAGACGCAGAAUAUAUGGUAGUUACAGAAGCUGUUAAGGAGGCUAUUUGGCUUAAUGGAUUGUUGAAAGACUUAGGAGUUGUUCAAAGUCACAUAAGUUUAUAUUGUGACAGUCAGAGCGAUAUUCAUUUAGCGAAAAAUCAAGUCUAUCAUUCAAGAACCAAGCAUAUCGACGUAAGAUAUCACUUUGUGCGGGAAGUCUUUGAAAAAGGAAAAAUUCUACUUCAGAAGAUUCCGACAGCAGAUAAUCCCGCAGAUAUGAUGACCAAGGUGGUAACAACAAUCAAGUUUAAUCAUUGUUUGAACUUGAUUAACAUCCUGAGAAUUUGAGCACCUUUAGGUGUAUGGCGCUCGAGAGCGCAUUUGGAGGCACUACAAAAGAUAGCUUUAUCGAAUUUGGGGAGUUGAAGGAAGUAUGUGAAGAUGUGAUUAUCCUAAUCAAAUCUUCAAGGUGGAGAUUGUUGAAAAGACAAAUUAAAAGGGGUGUUGAAAAGUCAAAAAAAUGGGAGGUGCAAGUGGCACCGAAAGAAAAAAAUGGUAGGCAAGUUGUUUAAAGUUGAAUGGGAUAAUUGCAAUUUUGGUCUCUAAUUUUUAGGCCAUUUGCAAGUUAGUCUCUGAACCUCAACUAUAAAUAGGCCUAACCAUUUCUCAUUUACACCAUCCCAACCAAUCUUUCUCUCUUAGUUUUCUCUCUUCUCCCAUUUGAGAAUUCUUAAGGAAUUCUAUUUGUUUGUAAUAUUUUGGAGAUAGUAAAGUUAUCAUCUGGUGUUAGUGCCCGAGGACGUAGGUAUAAUUUACCGAACCUCGUUAAAACUCUUAUGUUCUUUUUGUCCUAUUUUUCUUUCAAUAUUUGAGGGUAUAAUAGUAGUAUUUAAUUGUGCUAUUAAAUUACGUUAGAAGGAAUAUUCUGACUAAGGAAAGACUUGGUAUUUAAGAGAUCCUUGUGAUCCACCUCUCUUCCCUGGGAAUUGAACUUUGUGUGAUUUUUUAAUACAAUAAUUUACACGCUUCCGACCCUAUUGGAACAACAAAGUUAGACAUGAGUAAAGUAUAUGACAGGGUUGAGUGGAAUUUUAUCAAAGAAAUUAUGAUACGAAUGGGGUUCGAUAUGAACUAGAUUGAAACUUUAAUGAAAUGUUUGACAAUUAUCUUCUAUUCAGUAGUUGUAAAUGGAUACAUAGGAGAAAGCUUCCACCCAGCAAGGGGACAUCGUCAAGGAGACCCGUUUAGCCUGUUUCUAUUUCUCAUUUGCGAAGAGGGUUUAUCGUGUUUAAUGCGAUUAGCAAGUAGAGAAGGUCUAUUGAAAGGAGCCAAAGCUAGUAGGAGCGGACCACAGGUAUCACACUUGUUUUUUACCGAUGAUUGCAUUUUAUUUGGCCAGGCUACAAAAAGAGAAGCUAAUUUAUUGAAGGAAAUUUUAAGGGAAUAUAGGAGUUGCUCAGACCAAUGUGUUAACUUUAAUAAGUCCAAUGUCUUUUUUAAUAGAAAUACCAAUGAAUAGGAUAGGCGGGAAGUGGUAAAUAUUUUGAAGGUGCGAAGUUCAAACAAUCCAAAGAGGUAUUUAGGCUACCCAAUGCAGUUGGAAGAAAGAAAAAAGAAUCGUUUCAGGAUCUAAAAGAUCGAAUUAAGAAACGUAUUGACAAAUGGAGCACUAGAUUUUUUUCUUAGGGCGUAAAUGAAGUAUUUAUCAAAUCUGUCCUUCAAUCUAUCCCAACUUAUACUAUGUCUUGUUUCUUAUUGCCCAAAUCUUUAUGUACAGAAUUGGAAAGCAUUAUUGCUCAAUUUUGGUGGCAAAAGAGGCAUGGCAGACGGGGAAUACAUAGGUGUGCAUAGAAAAUUCUUUGUCUAUUAAAAGAAAAUGGGGGUCUUGGUUUUCGAAAUAUGAGUCAGUUCAAUAUUGCAUUAUUAGCCAAGCAAGGGUGGCGCCUUAUUAAUUAUCUGAAUUCAUUAGUAGCUAGAGUACUCAAGGCUAAAUACUAUCCGCAUACGAAUUUUAAUAACGCUCAGUUAAGGAAUCUACCUUCCCUUACCUAGAAGAGCGUGUAGGCUACUAAGGGAUUGUUGAAGAAUGGACUGUGUUGGAGGGUUGGAAGGGAUGAUGGAAUCUCGAUCUGGGAGGGCCGUCAGAUUCCAAGAAUGAAACUUAAUGAGUGGAACAAUAGAAACGACAGCGAAGGGCCUCAGUUAGUCUCAGAAUUAAUUGACCCAAAUACCAGAACAUGGAAGACAAGUAUUGUUAGUAGUACCUUCCAAAAUGAGAUUGCUCAACAAAUUAUGUAGAUUCCUCUUGCGAAAAGUCCUCAUAACGACCUUUAAGUGUGGAAAGGAGAACCGUCUGGAGAAUUUACUGUCAAAAGUGCCUACAAACUAUUUCAAGAAGCUAUCUUGGAUCCUAGUUAUUAUUUUAUACAGGCCGACUCAAAGAAAUUCUACAAAAAAACUUUGGAAUCUAGGACUACCCUCAAAAAUACUGGUUACAAUAUGGAGAAUUACAUGGAACUAUAUUCCAACUAGGGAUUUAAAUAGCAGUCCGAUACGGCUAUAGCGACGCUAUAUAGCAGUAGCGGCGCCGUCCGAAACCGUUACUAUUGAAAAUAACAGUGUGAAGCGGAGUCCCACUGAUAGCGGUGGGUUGCGGCUACAAUUUAACGGGUAAUGGCCAGUUGCGGCAAUAACAGGCCGCUAUUCCCGUUAUUUUCCGUUGCAGUAAAUUAAAAAAAAUCCAUCUCCUCUAGACAAAAAUCAACAAAAACAGUGAAACACAAUAAAACAAAAGGGAAUAUAUUCUCCUGCCUGUAAAACCAGAGUGUUUUCAAUCAAAAAAAGAAAAAUGAAGACCAAAUAAAUAGAAAAAGCAAUCAAAAUUCAAAACUAAAAAUGAAAACCAAAUAAAUAGAAAAAGCAAUCAAAAUUCAAAACUCAAAAGCAAUAGAAAAUAUGAAAUUCUAUUUCUCAUAUUUCGGUCCCUAAACUCUAAACCAAACGGCAAACAAAGCAAACCCUGAUCACUUUCACAUUCAGAGAUUGAAAAUUUUCAAGUAAGUACCUAAAAUUUUGUCUUGAUUCUUGGCUUCUUGCUUGUUUUUGCAAUGCAAAUAUGUUCUUUAGAGUUUAGACUUUAGGUUAGGGAUGAAGGGAGAAGUUACAACCAGCAUAUUCCAAGAAUUUGAUAGAGUUUUGAGAGGAUAUGAGUUUUAAGAGGAUGAUAGACUUUAGGCCUCUUCAGUUUUUCUUUCUAAGUUUUCUGCCGUUUGAUUUCUUUUUUUCUUUAUUUUUUUCAUUUUUAUUUUCCUUUCCUCCUAGCCAAAACCAAGGCACUGUCUAG